AUGAACGCUAGCGGCAGGCUUAAUACAUGCAAGUCGAACGGUAACAGGUCUUCGGACGCUGACGAGUGGCGCACGGGUGAGGAACACGUACACAAUCUACCUUAUACUGGAGAAUAGCCCCGGAAACUGGGAUUAAUACUCCAUAGUCUUUAAUGAUCACAUGAGAAAUAAAGUAAAGCUUCGGCGGUAUAAGAUGAGUGUGCGUCCCAUUAGAUUGUUGGUGAGGUAACGGCUCACCAAGUCGACGAUGGGUAGCUGGCGUGAGAGCGCGACCAGCCACACUGGCACUGAGACACGGGCUAGACUCCUACGGGAGGCAGCAGUAGGGAAUAUUGGUCAAUGGACGAAAGUCUGAACCAGCCAUGCCGCGUGGAGGAUGACUGCCCUCUGGGUUGUAAACUCCUUUUAUAUGGGAAGAAACCUCUGGAUUCACUCCAGAGCUGACGGUAUCAUAUGAAUAAACACCGGCUAACUCCGUG
rnacentral:rRNA from 1 species